GAAACGACAACUUUCCUACCAUCUUGGAGGCAGAGGAGAGAGGGGCCAAGGGGAGAGGUGCACCGGCUCGGGAUAAAGUCCAAAUUUCUACCUCUCGUCUCUGGAAAAAGCCCAUACUUGUGGAAAAGCAGGGAAGAAACAGAAACGAGGUCGUGUGCUCCGUGGUGGGGAAUGUUUCUGCACCUUCUGAUGGAAAGAAAUCUUUACAAGACCCAGAACACACGGAGAAUUUGAGUGUACAUAUUCAAGAACAAAAGACUGUGAAGCUAGAAUGCAACUGUAGCAUUAAACAGCGGUGCCUCAAAACGUGGAUUUGUACCAACUAGAAGAACAACAUCUGCUUCUUCCACACCAGCAAUUGUGGUAUUGAGAAGAUAACUGGAACGAAAACAAUGGCUGCGAACAGUUGUAGCACUCAUCUUCAAUCCAAGUACUUAGGAGGUAAAGACAGAAAGUUCUUCUGCUACACAGAGUUCAAGGCCAGUCUGGGCUACAAGAGACUCAAAAAUCAAAACGAAAUCCAAACCAUCAGCCUGGAGCACAGCUGAGUGUUUCUCACCCAGCUCCUUCGGUGGGGAAGAUCUCCUCAGUGCAUAAGUUGUCAGAGUCAACUUUAUUCAGCAAGUCUUUCAGAGCUACUAAGGCUUCAGCAUCCACCAAGCCACCUGCAAUG
rnacentral:lncRNA from 1 species